CUUUUCUACCCUGCAUCGUUACGUGGGGAUCGCAUCCACACCUUGGGACAGCUACUAGUGUCCUAUGUCAGACCACACGUUCCCGUUUCGACUACCCCACUCGUCAGAUGGGUACGAUGGAUCCUAUCACUGGCGGGUGUGGACGCAAAUUUUGGAGCACACUCAGUGCGCGGGACGGCGGGCUCUUUGGCGGAUAUCCUUCGUUCAGCGGACUGGUCGAGGGAAUCUACCUUUCGGACAGUCUACUUCCGCCCGAAUUCAGGUGCCGCUAUGUCUCUUCUGCAUCAGCGUUAAAAAAUGCAAAAUAGGAAGCCUCCUGUCGUGGUAAAAUUGAAGAUUAUGCUAGCGUUAGUGUACUUUUAAUCUUAAUUUUAGUAAUGACAGGCAAGUAUUUUCCCACCCUUGGGAAGAGUGGAUUCACGUAAGUAUAUAUUUAUCUCUCCGUUGGCUUAUCUUAUAUUUAUACCGUUUCUCUUCAUGGUUUGGGGAUUUGUUCUGUUUCUGUUCAGUAUACAUUAACCAGAGCGACGCCUACUGCUAUAUAAUGUUGGGUCGUUACUGCAACAAAUUUAAAGACCGGUGCCUAACCCAUUUCACGUUCUCUUUUCAGUAUAAAUCCGUGAUGUUAACAGUUCGUUCUCAGGAUGGACACAGUUGGAUCAGCCUUUAUCUCCUGAGGUUUCGUUAAUCGGACAAGUCACCUGUUUGGUGCAUGUUUCAGGAUAUUCUGGAUCAGUCUUCAUUCCGUGAAGUUCCGUUUCUGUGGGAACCACCUGUUGGUGCAUGUUACAAGAUGUUUUGACUUUAUGUUUUUAUGUUUUUUUAUUGAGUUUCCUGAUGUCGCUUUUGAUAGAGGGGGAGGAGCCUCUUCACUGUGAAUACUAUACAUCCUAUUGCAGUUUGGUUAUUGUUUUCACUUUUCUUUACUGCUGUGUGGAGUUAGUAAAGAGCAUAAUAUGCAAAA